rnacentral:misc_RNA from 1 species
GUUUUUUAUCACAAUUGAUGAUCUAUGGAGAUCGUAGAGUUAAGAAAAUACCCAGAAUUUGUGUUGUAAGAGCAUCAGCAGUUGAUAGUUCGUCUCACUUUGUUGAACGCAUCGAGAAGGCAUGGUUGAUUUCUAAGCAACCUAGACCAAUUAUAUGCUCUACUUGUGACUCAAACGGUCUUGUUGAUUGCAACUGGUGCGGUGGUACUGGU